rnacentral:rRNA from 1 species
UGGGCAACCUGCCCCUCUCUCUGGGAUAACCCCGGGAAACCGGAGCUAAUACCGGAUACUCCGGCUGGAUCGCAUGGUCCGGCCGGGAAAGGUCCGCCGGAGAGGGAUGGGCCCGCGGCCUAUCAGCCUGUUG